rnacentral:rRNA from 1 species
AUUGAACGCUGGCGGCAUGCUUUACACAUGCAAGUCGAACGCGAAAGCGGGGGCAACCCUGCCGGUAGAGUGGCGAACGGGUGAGUAACACAUCGGAACGUAUCCUCGCGUGGGGGACAACCAGUCGAAAGACGGGCUAAUACCGCAUACGCUGGAGACAGGAAAGCAGGGGACCCGCAAGGGCCUUGUGCGCAUGGAGCGGCCGAUGUCUGAUUAGCUAGUUGGUGGGGAAAGGCUCACCAAGGCGACGAUCAGUAGCUGGUCUGAGAGGAUGAUCAGCCACACUGGGACUGAGACACGGCCCAGACUCCUACGGAGGCAGCAGUGGGAAUUUUGGACAAUGGGGCAACCCUGAUCCAGCCAUGCCGCGUGAGGGAAGAAGGCCUCGG